rnacentral:rRNA from 1 species
AAAGAUCCUGUUUCUGUUCUGGUUGGUUUUUGGGAAUACAGGAUAAUGAUUAAGAGCGACAGACGGGGGCAUUCGUAUUGCGGCGCUAGAGGUGAAAUUCUGGGACCGUCUCAAGACGAACUACUGCGACAGCAUUUUCCAAGAAUGUUUUCUUU